rnacentral:rRNA from 1 species
UACGAAGGGGGCUAGCGUUGCUCGGAAUCACUGGGCGUAAAGGGUGCGUAGGCGGGGAUUUAAGUCAGGGGUGAAAUCCUGGAGCUCAACUCCAGAACUGCCUUUGAUACUGAAGAUCUUGAGUUCGGGAGAGGUGAGUGGAACUGCGAGUGUAGAGGUGAAAUUCGUAGAUAUUCGCAAGAACACCAGUGGCGAAGGCGGCUCACUGGCCCGAUACUGACGCUGAGGCACGAAAGCGUGGGGAGCAAACAGG